rnacentral:rRNA from 1 species
CCCCUAGAUGUCCUGGGCCGCACGCGCAAUACAAUGUAAAGUUCAGAAAGCAUAUCCUGUUCCGGAAGGCAAUGGGUAAUCUUUUCAAUAUUUUACGUGUUAGGGAUCGAUCUUUGCAAUUAUAGAUCUUGAACGAGGAAUACCUAGUAAGUGCAGCUCAUCAGGCUGUACUGAUUACGUCCCUGCCCUUUGUACACACCGCCCGUCGCUCCUACCGAUUUCGAGUGGUCCGGCGAAUCUUUUGGAAUUAGAGUGCAAACUCAAACUAAGAUCGAUAAACCUUAUCACUUAGAGGAAGGAGAAGUCGUAACA